UACAGAGGUCUCGAGCGUUGUUCGGAUUCAUUGGGCGUAAAGGGCGCGUAGGCGGCCGCCUAAGUCAGACGUGAAAUCCCUCGGCUCAACCGGGGAACUGCGUCUGAUACUGGGUGGCUUGAAUCCGGGAGAGGGAUGCGGAAUUCCAGGUGUAGCGGUGAAAUGCGUAGAUAUCUGGAGGAACACCGGUGGCGAAGGCGGCAUCCUGGACCGGUAUUGACGCUGAGGCGCGAAAGCCAGGGGAGCAAACGGG
rnacentral:rRNA from 1 species